UACGUGAGGGGCGAACGUUGUUCGGUGUCACUGGGCUUAAAGGGCGCGUAGGUGGUUGCGUAAGUAACGUGUGAAAUCCCUCGGCUUACCCGGGGAAUUGCGCGUUAUACUGCGCGGCUUGAGGAUCAGAGGGGAAGGAGGAACUCCAGGUGUAGCGGUGAAAUGCGCAGAUAUCUGGGGGAAGGCCGGCGGCGAAGGCGUCCUUCUGGCUGAUUCCUGACACUGAGGCGCGAAAGCGUGGGGAGCAAACAGG
rnacentral:rRNA from 1 species